rnacentral:rRNA from 1 species
CCUACGGGGGGCAGCAGUGAGGAAUAUUGGUCAAUGGGCGAGAGCCUGAACCAGCCAAGUCGCGUGAGGGAAGACGGUCCUAUGGAUUGUAAACCUCUUUUGUCGGGGAGCAAAAAGGCCUCGUGAGGCCACAAGUGAGAGUACCCGAAGAAAAAGCAUCGGCUAACUCCGUGCCAGCAGCCGCGGUAAUACGGAGGAUGCGAGCGUUAUUCGGAUUUAUUGGGUGUAAAGGGUGCGUAGGCGGACUGGAAAGUCAGCGGUAAAAUCGGGAGGCUGAACCUUGGGACUGCUUUUGAAACUGAGUAGCUAGAGUGCAGGAGAGGUAAGCGGAAUUCCUAGUGUAGCGGUGAAAGGCGUAGAUAUUAGGAGGAACACCAGUGGCGAAGGCGGCUUACUGGACUGUAACUGACGUUGAGGCUCGAAAGCGUGGGGAGCAAACAGGAUUAGAUACCCUUGUAGUC